CCGCCCAGAGCGACGCAAGCCCCCCCCCGCCGUUUCCGGCUCACCGCUGCAGCGCAUGCGCUCUGAACCAGCUCUUCCCGUCGUGCCCCGGGCGCUAUAAAUUCUCGUUGCCCCGCCUCCUUCGCUCUUUUCCCUCGGAGCGAGGUGGGCGGCAGGAGCGGGGCCGGCCUGGCUGGCCUGCAGAGUCCCGCUGCGUCUCGGAGUCCCCGGGCUGGGGCCAGGAGAGAAACCGCGCGGGAGACACUGCAGGACCAGGGGCGUCUGCUCGGGGGGCGCCACGUUCCGCCGCCCCGUCAAACUGCCUUGGCUCCCUGCUAACAUCUCUGUCCUUGUUCUCUUCCAGCGGCUUCGCAGGCAGCGCUCCUGGCCCACGAGCAGCUUUGCAAGCAGUGCACGCCUGCCCACAAGCAGCUUUGCAAGCAGCGCACGCCUGCCCACAAGCUUCAGAUGCCAUGUUGCAUCAGUUGAAAAGGUGAGUAGUGUAGAGUCCAUUACUUGUUCAUAGACAUGUAGAGUUUCUUUUAGUUUUCUGCUAUCAAGAGCUGUAUGGAAUCAGAUGUAAAAUACCUUAGUUCAGCAUAGAAGUUUCAUGUCACUGUAGCUAUCUGGGGAAAUUACUCUGUUUGGCCCACAGACGGUAGCCUUCAAGACUUGUAGCUUCUAAGGCAUUUGGGACCGACUGGACCUGAACUUGUGUGACUAUGGUGUGGUCGUCAACUGUAUAUCAUAACCUGCUAUGAGGAAAUUGAAACUACAAAAAACUUGCCUUGCUGAAAAGCAUGAGAAUCUGGGGCUUGCAUAAAUCACUACUGUGGGGCAUUGAUUACACCCUGGAAUAUAUAUGCUCAGUUUGUUUCCAUGGUGUUUAAAUUCAUUGAGGAUGGAUUAAGGUGGCCUAAAAAGUAAUCUCUCAUUUUUGGGACUGUCUUCUCUACUGGAAGUUUUGGGAGAUUAUGAGGCUGGCUAGUUUUGGGUACUGCAGCAGAGCAGUGGAAGACAGGACUCCUGAAGCAGAAAGGAUCUUGACACCUAUGAAAUAGUCUCCCAUAGCUGUGGGGUUGGGGGCCAUGAUUUAAUCUGCAUAUUAUGGCAAGGUGAGAGGGAAUGGAAUCCCUACAAUACGGUCUUAGCUUUUUGGAAAUCAUUUGUACUUCCAUGUGUGCAUUUGUAUCAGGAUGUGCAGUUAUUCUUGAAUUCAACUUGCUACGUUCCCUGUGAAAAAUCAACAUUAGCCUGAUACUACUGAUGGGAAGGGGUGGGGGGGAAAUAUGGCACAGGAAGUCCUUCAAAACU
rnacentral:lncRNA from 1 species